GAUGAACGCUGGCGGCGUGCUUAACACAUGCAAGUCGAACGGUGAAAGAGAGCUUGCUCUCUGGAUCAGUGGCGAACGGGUGAGUAACACGUGAGCAAUCUGCCCCUGACUCUGGGAUAAGCGCUGGAAACGGCGUCUAAUACCGGAUACGAGCUGCGAAGGCAUCUUCAGCAGCUGGAAAGAACUUCGGUCAGGGAUGAGCUCGCGGCCUAUCAGCUAGUUGGUGAGGUAAUGGCUCACCAAGGCGUCGACGGGUAGCCGGCCUGAGGGGGUGACCGGCCACACUGGGACUGAGACACGGCACAGACUCCCACGGGAGGCAGCAGUGGGGAAUAUUGCACAAUGGGCGCAAGCCUGAUGCAGCAACGCCGCGUGAGGGACGACGGCCUUCGGGUUGUAACCUCUUUUAGCAGGGAAGAAGCGAAAGUGACGGUACCUGCAGAAAAAGCACCGGCUAACUACGUGCCAGCCGCCGCGGUAAUAC
rnacentral:rRNA from 1 species